AAACAGUAACGAUUUUAGUGCCGUCAUUAAAGUUUUUUCGUCAUCUUAAUCAGUGAUUACAUUAUUAAAAUUUUUCACUGGCAUUUGUAGAAUGAGAGCCUAGCCAAUUCACUGGAGCGGAUUCUAGCCUUUGGUAAGCCAUCGUCCAGCAAUCAUGUCAUAGUGAGCCACCACUUAAAUCGUAUUUCUGCCAUGGAGCCUCAAGUAACUCUAGCUGGCCUGCCUGUCGAUCGUGACCGCGUUGUCGGAAUAAUUUGUGGCGUGUUUGGCUAUGUUUUGGUCUUAGCGGAACUGAGCGACAAGCAUCGGUAGAACUCACCAAUAGAGCAUCGAAAUGACAACGACAGAUGUCAUCAUGAAAAUGUGCAUCAAGUGUUUGUAUAUCUGCGUCAAACAGAGCCGCAUAAAUUAUUACCUCAGUUAAUUUACAAAAUGUUAUGAUGCUGUGUUUUAACGGUAACAUAUUAUUCGUAUGUGUUCCGCUACAUUGUUUUAAAUUUUCGAUUGUCUGGUUAUCGUUGCCAAAGACUUAAGUGUUUGACCAAAUGGCCACCUAAAGGACCGCUCAAUGUCAGCCCCGCCUAUGCUGGCGAAUAACGUCACUCUUCUGAGCUACGACUAUGCCAAAACUCGAAACAGAAUAUCAGGUAUAUCUGAGAUUCCCAAGCCGGAUCAAUAAAAUCCGUGGACCAUAAACAGUCAGAAUUGUCAGCGGCACCAGGAGACCUUAGGCACAAGUGGCCAUUCGCUCGAAAUCCCAGCUCGGCGCCUACGAAAAUAAUUGGCUAUAUUGUGUUGAUACACAGAAAAUCAGAACGAUGAAAAUCUCAGUGCCUGACCUGCGGCUAAAGGUGUUGCCCAUCUGGCGACCGUUGUUGGGAAAUGAUACACCGCAAGACGGCCGUCGUCUUGCAUUUUGAGAAGCGACCGGCAGUCACCCACUCCAGUGUACGAGGUCCAAAUAACCUGCAGUCACUCGUUGUGGCUAGAUGGAUAAACCUUCGGGUUUUGAAAGAUAGUCUACAUCGAGCGCGGUUUGGACUUAGAUGGGUGACCACUCUGAGUUCAGGCUGCGAGUGCACGGCCCGCAAGGCCUGUGUGCGAAGUGCUUGGCUGAGGCAGCAUUACCACCAAGGAGACGGGCACGGGAGAUGGAGGAUCACAAUACCACCCUGGCUACUCAGUGACGGCUUGGACUGAAAGGCCUGUGAUGUCCGCAGCACCAAUCGUGCCAAAUGGAAGGAGACAGGGAGAUCAGUCGAAGCAGAGGAUUGGCGCCUUCCCUAGAGAUGUGCUUGCUGUCUACCUGUUUAGAAUUCUCUUAGUCUGGUUCUGUUGAACGUCUUGCUCUGCCCGAGCCGGUUAGCGCCAUUGCGCGUUAAAAUAAAAGCUGGCGCUCGCGUUUGCGAGCUGCUGCAUACGAUCUGUCUGUUGCAGUGUUAUAGCCUCCAUUGUAACGCUGCGUGAAUGAAUUACCGUACUUUGCACAGAAUGUUCUGUCUGUCACCUGAUUAAUGCAUUGCUGAACAUGUAAACCGAGCCGUUUUCGAAACAACUAGCCGCAUAAAGCAAUCGCAAAG